GCGCCGGAGCCCGCCUAGACGGCAGCGCGUUUGCUCCGCGCUUGCCGCGCCUCCGACCGCUCCUCCGCGCGCUCCUGGCCGCGGGAGCCGCUCGCCUUCUGGACCGCGCUCCUGGUGCUUCCAGGGUGCUGUGUGCAGGGAGCGAUCCCCAGAAACCACGCAGAUCUCCCGGGCGCAGCGGCCCGAGGGCUCCGAGUCAGCGGAGGGAGCGGUCCUUUCGUGACUUUCCGCUAGGAUUUCGCUUCAGAGCCCACCCGAGUUAGCGCACGCUGUCCCGCAGCCUCCUGCUCUGAAAUACAGAGCUCCGAGGGGCCUCCGCUCCCACAGCUGGCACGCCGCGAGCGGGGAGAGACCGCCCAGAAGGUGGAAGGGCCCUUUGGGGGGACGGUUUCCUCGCCCACGGUGCACCCGGAGACCCUCGGGCCGGCGCUCGCCGUACACAGCUCGGGCCUCAGAGUUCGGCACAGGCAGUUCCUUCAGUCACUCGUCAACCAGCGUUUGCUGGGACGCAGCAGGGGACAGGCUGACGAGGCCUUCUAGGACCCCACUUUGCAGUGGGGAUGACCAAGAAUUACCCAGGGAGGAAAAAUAAGUUUAAAGAGUGGCCAAAUGCUGUGAUUAAAUGAGGUGGUUUCUAGGUAGGGUGGUCUAGGAAGACCUCCAGGGGGUGACAUUUCUGCAGAGACCCGGAUCAGGAGCAGGGACCAGCCUUGGGCAGCCCCCUCCCGGGGGGGGGGGGUCGGGGGGAUUCAGUGCAAGGGUCCUGAGGUUGCACCCAGACAGACGGUUUAGGAACAGAAGGAAGGUCCCGGGUGGGGCUGGCCCUGAGGUCACAGUGGCUGCUGAGAUGAGCGUGAGCGUCACGCAGCUGCUGUAACUACUGACCUGUGACCAGGCGGCCUCACUCUGACAGUUCUGGGGCCAGUUCAGGUUCCCUGAGCCCCAAUCAGGGGUCCACAUGCCCCCUCCCUCUGGAGGCUCAGAGGCGGGGGCAGAAGUUUUCCCUGCUUUUCCAGCUUCUGCUGGUGGCCACGGCUUUCCUGAGUUUCCUGGCAGGGACCCAACCACUUGAGCCAUGACCUCCGCCUCCCAGGGUGUGCACCAGCAGGGAGCUGGGAUUAGGCUCAGGGGAGUGACUGGAACCUGGCACCUGAUAUGAGAUGUGGGUGACAUUGAACGAGUGGCCCAAAUGCUUGCCCUCUUCUCCUUUGUAAGGUGGCGUCCAACCAGCCGUCACUACAGUAUCACCAUAAGCAAUCUCACUUCCACAUCUCUGCACACGCGAGCAAGACUUUCUAUUGGAUCCGAUCCGCAAAGCAGUAUCACAUAGAUACAGACAAGGCUUCCGGAUCCACCUGGACGCAAACAACCACGGAUCAAAAACUCUCUUUCUCUCUGUCUUUUAUCCCUUUUCAAGUAGAUAAAAGUAAACAUCUAAAACAGAAAUAAAGAAGUUUUAAAAAAUAAAAUAAGA